GACGAACGCUGGCGGCGUGCUUAACACAUGCAAGUCGAACGGAAAGGCCCUGCUUUUGUGGGGUGCUCGAGUGGCGAACGGGUGAGUAACACGUGAGUAACCUGCCCUUGACUUUGGGAUAACUUCAGGAAACUGGGGCUAAUACCGGAUAGGAGCUCCUGCUGCAUGGUGGGGGUUGGAAAGUUUCGGCGGUUGGGGAUGGACUCGCGGCUUAUCAGCUUGUUGGUGGGGUAGUGGCUUACCAAGGCUUUGACGGGUAGCCGGCCUGGGAGGGUGACCGGCCACAUUGGGACUGGGAUACGGCCCAGACUGCUACGGGAGGCAGCAGUGGGGAAUAUUGCACAAUGGGCUGAAGCCUGAUGCAGCAACGCCGCGUGUGGGAUGACGGCCUUCGGGUUGUAAACCGCUUUCGCCUGUGACGAAGCGUGAGUGACGGUAAUGGGUAAAGAAGCACCGGCUAACUACGUG
rnacentral:rRNA from 1 species